GCACACUAAAGCACAUACACACACGUCGUGAGGGUGCUGUGUGUGUGGGCGCUGUGUGUGUUUAAGGGUGCUGUGUGUGUGUGUUUGUGAGGGUGGUGUGUGUGUGUGUGUGUUUGUGUAAGGGUACUGCAUGUGUGUAAGGGUGCUGUGUGUGUAAUGGCGGUAAGUGUUUGUGAGGGUGGUGUGUGUGUUUGUGACAGUGGUAUGUGUGC